AACCUUGUGGUCUGGCCUCUGUUGGCCUCCCUGACCUCCCCUCCCAAUUCUUUCUCUGCCCCCGGACUCCAGUAUCACAGUCUGUCUCUCAGCCACAAUUUAUUUUGCCCCUAGAGUUUGCUGUGCUUAUAACACUUCUUUUUCCCAUAUGUCAUUCAUUUCUCAAGUCUAAGAGUAGCAGUUACCAUCUUAGACGACCGUUCCCUUACCCCUCCCUUAGUCUUGGGUUAAGUCCCAGAAUCCUUGAAUUUGCCGUUCCUGAUACAUAAAUAUGUAAUUUCUUGUGUGGCCUGAGACUCUCUCUCUAAACUAAGGGCUUUACAAAAGCAGAGACCACAUCAUUAACUCAGCACUUAACCCAGAGCCUCACACACAGCAGGCAAUCAAUAAAUAUUUGUUGACUGAUCAAAUGUUUUGGUGCCAGUGAAGAGUUGGGCUUGCUGCUGCUGUCUUCAGCGUAAGUCUUGCUUUUUCAGCUGGGUUUCUAAUUGAGAAUUUAGAGAGUGCAUUGGUGAGGAUUCUUUUGACUGCAAGUAACAAAAUAAAAUGGUGGCAAGAACUAUGGA
rnacentral:lncRNA from 10 species